rnacentral:rRNA from 1 species
UACGAAGGGGCUAGCGUUGCUCGGAAUCACUGGGCGUAAAGCGCACGUAGGCGGAUUGUUAAGUCAGGGGUGAAAUCCUGGAGCUCAACUCCAGAACUGCCUUUGAUACUGGCGAUCUUGAGUCCGGGAGAGGUGAGUGGAACUGCGAGUGUAGAGGUGAAAUUCGUAGAUAUUCGCAAGAACACCAGUGGCGAAGGCGGCUCACUGGCCCGGUACUGACGCUGAGGUGCGAAAGCGUGGGAGCA